ACGCUGGCGGCGUGCCUAAUACAUGCAAGUCGAGCGAACAGACGAGGAGCUUGCUCCUCUGACGUUAGCGGCGGACGGGUGAGUAACACGUGGAUAACCUACCUAUAAGACUGGGAUAACUUCGGGAAACCGGAGCUAAUACCGGAUAAUAUAUUGAACCGCAUGGUUCAAUAGUGAAAGACGGUUUUGCUGUCACUUAUAGAUGGAUCCGCGCCGCAUUAGCUAGUUGGUAAGGUAACGGCUUACCAAGGCAACGAUGCGUAGCCGACCUGAGAGGGUGAUCGGCCACACUGGAACUGAGACACGGUCCAGACUCCUACGGGAGGCAGCAGUAGGGAAUCUUCCGCAAUGGGCGAAAGCCUGACGGAGCAACGCCGCGUGAGUGAUGAAGGUCUUCGGAUCGUAAAACUCUGUUAUUAGGGAAGAACAAAUGUGUAAGUAACUAUGCACGUCUUGACGGUACCUAAUCAGAAAGCCACGGCUAACUACGUGCCAGCAGCCGCGGUAAUACGUAGGUGGCAAGCGUUAUCCGGAAUUAUUGGGCGUAAAGCGCGCGUAGGCGG
rnacentral:rRNA from 2 species